rnacentral:rRNA from 1 species
UACGGAGGGUGCGAGCGUUGUCCGGAAUCAUUGGGCGUAAAGGGCGCGUAGGCGGCGCGGUAAGCGUGCGGUGAAAGUCCGGGGCUCAACCCCGGAUCGGCCGUGCGGACUGCCGGGCUCGAGCACUGUAGGGGCGGGUGGAACUCCGGGUGUAGCGGUGGAAUGCGUAGAGAUCCGGAAGAACACCGGUGGCGAAGGCGGCCCGCUGGGCAGUGGCUGACGCUGAGGCGCGACAGCGUGGGGGAGCAAACAGG